rnacentral:lncRNA from 1 species
AAUAGGAAGACUCGGGUGACUAUGGCCGGUGGAUGUUCAGUGCAGCUCCAACAAAAGCUUAGAGAUGCAAACUACCAGGUCUGGACCACAUUUCAUCCUCGUCGGCAACCACAACCACGCAUUCCAUACACAUAUACCAUGACGCACAACAACCACGACACUACCAGGUGCCAGAUGCCAGUAUGCCACAGUUCUCCUCAACCCAGAGGUGAUCUGCUCUCCCGCCGCCGCCAUUCCAGUUCUCCACGAAGACACAGCCCAGCCGUCUCCCACUCCACAGCCUAAGGUUCAUCCAUGGAGGACACGGGCAGGUCGCUAGCAGCCGGGUCGGGCGUCCUCCGGGGCUCCAUCUUGGCGACCACCUCCGCCACGACGAGCCUCGUCAGCAGCAGCCCGGCGACGAGCGCCGACGCCAUCAGCAUCGUGAACACGGCGCUCCAGCUCCUGGCGGAGAUGUACCCCGUCAGCAGCGGGCCCACCGCCGCGCCGAUGGAGCCCGUGCCGUCGAUGAUCGCCGUCACGGUGGCCAGCGCCCGGGAGUUGCCGUUCAGGGAGCUGUGCGUGCCGAGGUCGGCCGAGACGGCCGUCGUGAUCAGCGCGUAGGGCCCGUUCACCAGCAUCCCCGUGAUGAACAUCAGGGCGAUGUUCCACGUCAGCGAGAUGCUGCCGUAGAUGCGGUAGAAGAAGAGCGCCGGUAUCGCGGAGAAGGUGAAGCUCGCCGCCGUCAGCGCCCGGGCGUCCAGGCGGUCGGAGAUGUGGCCGGCGAGGAUGCCGCCGACAACGCCACCAACGUCGAACAGAGUCGAUAACACCCCGGCCGAGGAGUUUGACAAGUAUUGGCCUCCAAUGGCUGAAAAACAAAACACAUUGGUGGUGUCAGUAAAAAAUAUUUCAGUGCUAACAAUGAGCUCUAGUUCUAUUAAGAACCUGCAUUUUUCUGCAGUAAAGCUGCUAAAUUUUCAUCAACACGUCAAUGUCAUUAUACUGAAUUAAAUCAGGAUUAUUAGUUAGCUUGUGAAACUAGCCAACAAAUUCUUCUAUCCCCCAUUCAUUAUCGCGUGUAAAAAAACAAGAUACUAAAAAAUUCAAAUAUUCAGAUAGCAAUAUCAACAAUACUAGACAAUAACAUUCACAUCAUGUGUCCUUUUUUUAAUGGUUUGUUUAACUCAACUACGUUAAGCAGAUAAGAAACCAGCAACAUGCCUGAGGGAUAAGCAGAGUAAGAAUAAUUCAUUUGUAUUUCUCUACUAACAGGUCAAAGAGCACCAUGCAUGUUGCCGAGUGCGUUCCAGUGGAAUCUUGUCCAACUGGAAUGUUAUGCUCCAGUUUAAGAUAAACUAACUUUGGACAAGUCAAUGGUGUAUCGUAGUUAAUUAAUAUUAUGAGAAUGCCUUAACUUCCAGUGGUUGUAGAAACGUCAGCUUCAGUUCUGCUGAUUGCUUGCCAACAAAUACAAAAGGGUUGGAAAGUUUGAUUUGCGCAUCACAAAGAGCUUAUAAUUUUUCAAUUGCUAGUCUGACUGGAGCCUAUGAAAUAUCUCAAGCCCUCGUCCUAAGUGACAUCAUAUAUUAAGGUUUGUAUCUUCAGACACAAAAUAAUGCUUUCUGAUCAUCAUAGUUCAAAAAGGGUUCAUUUGGUAGAAGUCAAAAAAGAAAACCAUGUGGUAAGUGGUAACUGCAAAAAUAUAACUCGACGAACCUGUGUGGCUGAUAUAAAAGGGAAGCCAAUACAGGAACGUAUAGGCCACAAGCUUGCAGAAGAAAAGGCAGAGAGCGAAAGGAGCUACACCAGGAAUUCUCCAUGCCUCAAUAAAUCCAACUGCCUUUUCUUUUGCUUGCGAGCGCCGUUCCAACAAAGGGGUGUCCAUGCCAGUCUUUUCGGAGUCCUUCAAGUGGAAAUCCUCUUGAAUUCCAAUCACAUCAGGACUAACAGGCAAGAAC